UUCAUGAUUUCCGCAUAUAUUUGGUCACUUGUCGUUGGCUCUCGCAGAGAUCCGGGACCUCUAGGAAAUUAGGGUUUUCCUAGUUUCCCAAUUUAAACGGAAAUCGACAGUGCGAAUUUCGGUUCCCACAUCCACCACGCCCAAAUACGAUGAAAUCUCAAGAAAAUUUUCACACCAGGGAAGAGAUAGAUCAGCUGGUAGAAGGGAUCUAUAGAGCUCUGGAAAAUACAGAAGAAAGGCUUGAUGGGAGAUGUGAUGACAUCUAUUUCCCAAUGGAUCUUGACAUUAGUGCUUUGACUUCCAAGAUUGAAGCUAUACAAGGAGUAUUGGUGGAGAUUCAGAGUUACAUUGCCCGUCGACCAGAAGCAUCGUCAUCGAUCGACACACAAAACAACAAAUCGACCGACAUUCAUCAUCGAACAUCGGUCGACGACGCUACAAACCGAGCCCGGCUAGUACCAAAGAUAACAUCAGACAUGUCCGACACACAUUACCAUGGAGAGGAGAUCUCAGCUAACACUUACGCCACACUUAGAAGACAUCAGUUCAACCUUGAGAGUCUUGAAGAAAGAUUACAGAGGAUGGAAAACACAACAGCAACAAUGAAGGAAAAAUGGCGUACAUGGUUCGACAAGCGCAAAGAAGAGAUGGAUACUUGUUUUCCAACAAGUUCUAGCUUUCAACACUACUAGCCCAAUCACCUCCAAAGUCAAGCUAAAUGACUAUAAUAAAGCGCUGAGCGGGAGGCAACCCAUGACUAGGUUAUAUUUAUUUAGUUUUUAUUGAUAUACUAUUUAUGUUGGUUUUUAAUUAUUGCAGGUCAUAAAAAUAAAAAAAAAAGUAAAAAAAAAGAGCUCUGAGUAAACGAUUGCCGUGAGUAUCGAUCGUCGAGAAGUUGUCGACAUCGAUCGACAUUGUCUAACCUGUCGCGACCGAUAUCAACAUCCCUACAUCGGUCGACAUCCAUUCCGGUCUGGUAUAUCGUUCUAACUUGUUACAUUGAGUCCUUAUGAUUUAGUUAUCACCAUAACUCCGACUAAAUUUACACUUGGAAAAGUGUAGUUUAAGUAUAGGGGAAGGUUUAGUGAUAGUAAUUUAUUUAUGAAUUUUAUUGAAAUGUUUUUCAAAAAGUUUUAUUGACUUAAGUAGGGGAUAAUGAACUUAUAGAUUUUUGCUUGUUAUCUAACCACUCUUUAGCACCAUUCUAGACUUACUGAUUGCAGAUAGUACUAAAGAUACUAAAGUGGAUCAACCUGUCAACUAUCCACACUUGCUGAGAUUGUUUGAGGAAACCAAAGCUGACCUCCAACACUAAACUUGACACAACUGCUUGUCUUGGGGCUUGGUAUGCAUGGAUCGGAUUCUUCAAACAAGUCUUGAAAGUAAAGCAUUGUGUAGAUAGAUUAAUCACCCUUUCUCUCUCUAUUUCGAAAUUAUAGAUAGAUAAAUAUAUAUAUAUAUAUAUAUAUAUAUAUAAUAAUAUAUAUAUCUAUUAGAGAUUUAUUAGGAAGGAAUUCGAACAGAAUUUGGCGGCUACAACUAUUAAGUAAGAAUUCUAUAGGUAAAGGAUUAGAACAGGACUUGGUGGUUACAACCAUUGAGGCUUGCUUCACAAAUAAUCCUAGGAUAUAGGUAACAAAGAAGUGAACAGGACUUGGUGGUAACCACCAUUAAGGCUUGAUUCAUGGAAGCAUGUUCAAUCUUGGUCAAUGAUCUUGCUAAAUAAGCAGAUUUUGACUAAGAGAGAAAAUUACUAGAGAGAGAGGAUAAGAACUAAUGUUUACAUGCAGGUCCAGAUAUUUGUUUGAAAAUCCUUGCAUCAUGUGAUCGAUACCCCCAAGGUAAAGCCUAUACUUUUAUUUAUGCAAAGAAAUGUGGUUGGUAGAGGGGAAUGUCAGACAAGUUUUGCUAAGUUGUUGGCUAGAUGAAUUUGGUUGCUAAGGUAGGAUGUUGUAUAAUGUGCUUUUGUGAUUAUGACUUUUUAGAUGUGGAUUGCAAUAUUGUAGAGGUUAUGAUUCUAAGUUUUAAAUCAUGUGAGUCUCUGCUGUUUUAAAACCUCUUUCAGAGAAACUGCCUAUUUGUUUUGCUUGAGGACAAAAAAAAUGGUAAGUCUGGGAGAGUUGAUAGACCAUGGUUUAUAGAUGUUUUUACUAAUACUUAUUAUAUUAGUCUAUUUAUUAUAUUUAUAAGAUCAGAAGUGAUUUCGAGACAAGUGAUGAUUUUGGAGCAUUUUGGAGAUAUUUGGAGCAAUCACCCGAGAUGACCAUCGAGCUCGACCAUCAGUCGAUAUUGGAGAGGAUUAAUCGAUCGAUGUUCAUAUCUUGACAUCGAUCGUCAGCGAAGCGCGCAGAAAACCCGUUUGAUCACAGCCAACUUGAAGCCCAAGUCCUCACCAAUUUACAAGAUUACCCCUGACGAGUUUUAACCUAACUACAUAAGCUUUGCCACCAUGUUAGAGGCAAAGUGUGAUUUUCUUGUUUUAUUAUUUUUACAGCAAGGUUUUCUAGGAUUUUGGUAGAUUGGGGAGAAGAUCCAAAGUAAUAAUUUGUUAUUGGAACUCCAUUAAUAUCUAUUUACUAUUCUAAUGAAGUUUCUUACCUAAUUGAUGUUAUGAAUUGCUUAGCCAUGUCUGAGUAGUUCCAUUGUUAGAUUUUAGGGUUUAAAUAAGUUAUGAGGGAUUAACCCCAACUAUAGAUUGCUCAGUUGUAGUAAUUAUCAUUAGGAUUGUUCAUUAUUGUUUGUCUCUAUAUUAGCUACCUAGAACUUGCCCUAGCAUUGAUAGAUAAAAGCGAGAGCUACAUUCUCAUCCUGAAAACAUUCUAAUUGAGCUAAGUUUCUUGAUAUGAGUAAGGCGAGAGCUGAUCUAGUGAGCUUAGUAAGCAUUCAUUCAACCCGCGCAUAAAGCUUAACUAGAAGCGCGUCGAUCGAUAUCAUUAUUGAAUAAUCGAUCGACGGAGCGAAGACACUUUCUAUUGAUCGACAUACGAUAGUUGAGAUCAUUAGAUCUAGUUAAUAGACAAGUCCAAACAUUGUGAAUGCUGAUGGACUUGUUAACUAAGUAGUUGAGCUUUACAUUAUCAUGCAUGCAACUCAUUAGGCAUUUGUAGGAUUAUAACCCCAAGUUUUUGAAUAAAAACCCUAAGUCUGACUAUUUUCUUUUUAAGCACCAAAACCUCAAUCAAUCUAUUGUACAAACACUUGUUCAAUAUAAAACUGUAAUUUACAUUUAAAUCUCUGCAACCAUCUAGCUUAACAAAUCAUAUUAGAUUUUUUAGGUUUCCUAGCUCCCUGUGAAUUCAGUCCCUAAGUACUACAACUCGACCUCUUAUUUGAGAGUAUAAAUCACUCCUUAGAGUAAUUUGAGUGGUAUCAUACAUUGGUGAGAGUGACCUCCAUGCCUGAAGUCAUCUUCAGCACAACUUUUCCAAUACCUUCGAUCUUGGACUGGGAGACGUUUUCCAUCUUCACUUGAUCAUCAAACUUACAUUUCUGAUAGGUAUUGAACAUCUCUCUGUCAAUACAGAUGUGUGUAGUGGCACAUGUGUCGUACCACCAUAUUUUUGGGUUUCCUUCAACUAUGUUAGCUUCUGUGACCACAGCACACAGAUCAGCUUAAGUCAAGUUGGCUUGAUUUUCCCCAUAGCCUUCCUGCGACACUCCACGGAUCUAUGUCCUAUCUUGCCACAGUAGUUACAUUCCACGGAUCACACACAAUACACAUCACACUCAGGUUUCACUCAAUAACCUUAACCAUCAAUUCUCAACUAUCAACUUAGCAUUCACUUCUUUCUAGCAUCCUAGCUUUAAUCACAAACCACUCAUGGGACUACACAUCCAAACAUACAAGUAUCAAUUACCAAUCAAUCAUCACCACAACAACACAAGACAGUUCAUUAAGUCCCAUUUAACAGUAUGAGGAUUCUUAUGCAUCAUGAUCCAUUCAUCUAUCAACCUAGUAAUAACCAUGUUCUAUCAUCCUAGCUCUCAAACAGGAUCUAAUCAAACCUAACUCCAACAUAGAGGAGUAUACAGUACGUGAGAACAAGAUGGGUUCAAGACACUCCACCUUAGCCUAGAUCUGGAUCUAGAAAUAAGGAUAAGAGAAGGUUGAGAUCCGGUCACCACCACCACCACACGGUGCCGGCAAGGAGAGAGAGAGAGUGCGGCGGCACGGAGGAGAGAGAGAGAAGAGAGAGAGACGGCGCAAGAGAGAAAGAGAGAGAGCUCGACGGCUAGGGUUUUCUGUCUCCGGGGAUUCUCUGCAGAGCUUUGAUUCAGUUUCUCACUCCGACAAAAAGGAGGGUUGCCUCUCUUUUUAUAGGAAGGGGGAAGGGAUACCCUAGGUCUUUGCCAAAUGGGCCGUAGAGAAGCCCAUUUUCUUAUGAAAAAUUUUGGGCCAUGAGCCGGGCCGUUACACUCACCCCUCCUAUUCCUUUCCCUUUUUAGGUGAGACUGACGAGCAGGAUUGAUUGCUAUCGGAUUGGUGCUUUGGAAAUUUUAUUUCUUUCUUUUUCAGACUUGCGGAUUUUAUGGUUUAUCAAUAUUUUCGGGAUUUAUUAUGUUAUCUGGAUUUAUGGUUAUUUAAUGGAUUUACGACUUUGGAGUUGACUUUUGAGAAGUAAUAAAUGAAGAUUUCAGACUUUAUAUUUAUUUAAGUUAUUUUGGAAAAUACGGGUGUUACAAUUUGGUAUCAGAGCGGGGUUCCGUCCCGGCUCUGACCCGGGAUGGCUAUUUGUUGGGACGUGGUUUCGACUCGGUUUUGCUCGGUUUUAAUUCGGCUUAAUCAGGUUUAAAGAUUUUUGAAUCUGGGGAUUUGGUCAUUUUAAGAAAAAGAAAAAUACAGCACCUUUCCGUUCAGAAACUUCUAACCCAAGUGUUUUUUUAUUGAUGAUGAGUUUAUCAUCGUCAUCCUUUCUCUAGCUAACAGGGUUUCAACCAGAUGUUCGGAAGAUGGAUGAUGCCACAGCUCGACAGAUUGCUCAGGUGUGUAUCAGUUUCGUCAGCCGUGUUCAGAGAUUGUCUGCAUGUGGAUAUGUGACAUUGUUGCCACCACCCUAACUUCAAGUCAUCGCUCCACGAGUUUUUGUUAUUGGAGAUUAUGUGGUAUGAGAUGUGAGCCAUGAGUUGGCAUGUGUUAUUCGUGUGUAUGAGUAUAUUUACUACCUUGGAGGCAUGGUUAUUUUGUAAACUCAUGGGGAUCGCUUUUGGAUUGGGGUGCGACAACUAGAGUUACACGAGUGAUGUAUUUGCUGUAAGAUCCCUUUUCUUAACAGCUUAUCGUCCAACACACAAAUCGGUUUCGGUACAUGUACAUCCCGCUCAAAACUAUCCCGUUCAACACUUAUGCUAUCCAAUACUCCCAAUCUCGAUCGUCUUACAAAGCCAUAACGCUAACAUGCGCUUGCCGUAUCCUCCAUAGCAAAACUGCCUGCUCCAAAGUCCCAAGGCCAUCUGUCUCUCCAUCAAUAGUAAUGGCACAAAAUCUGAGACCAGAAAAUGUCCCAGUAAACUCAUGAUACGUCGCUCAUGUGCCUACCCAAGGCAUUUGUCACCUGGUUGUCUUUACCAGAUGGUAUGCAAUAUCCAAACUGUAGCCUGCUAACAACUCAAUUCAACUGCACUGUCCAAGUAUAAGUUUUAAUGAAUGAAGAUAGAUUUCAGAAUCCAAUGAUCCUAGAGAAUCUGAACUUCCUUCCUGUACAAUUACAAUCUCCAAAACUAUAACGCAAAAACCACUGCAGCUACUACGAAUCAUUAAUAGGGUAGUAGGUCUCGUGAGGUCUCAACUGAUGCAAUGUAUAUGGAAUGACCUGAUUCUUAUGCAUCAAUACACAAUCCACAAAUGCUCAUCAUGCUCCCUCUACUCCAAAAAUAAAUCAAUGGGUUCGUCGAUGAGUACAAUCGCGCACUUGUCCAAGUGUUCGCGAAAGACAUCAUUCAUAAGCUUCUCAAAUGCUAUCGGUGCAUUCGUCGAUCCAAAAUGAUAUCACCAAAACUCAUAAUAUCCAUAACGUAUACGAAAACACACAUUCCGUACAUACUCCUCAACUAUAGCAAUCUGAUGAUGUCCUGAUGCCAAGACAACCUCCGAGAACCAUGAACCUCCCAUGCAGCUAAUUCAACAAGUCAUCAAUAUGAUGGUUACCAUGUUCAAGUCUAUGUAAUCGAUACAAAGCCUGAAACUACCAUCAUCUUUUUUUACAAACAACACUGGUGCUCCCCACGGCGAAUUACUCGACCUGAUAAAUCUCUUGUCUGAUGAAUCUUCCAUAUGUUUUUUCAGCUCAACCAUCUCUACUGGCGCUAAUCGGUAUAGAACUCGUGAAACCGGUGCUGUUCCUGACUCUAACUCGAUCGUAAGAACAUCUCCUCUAGCUGGUGACGGCCCUUCCAAAGGCCUUAAUUACAUCUCCAUACUCUGAGAUAACUAGAAGAUCCUGCAACUCAUGUUGACCAUCGAAAUGAUCACCAAAAUCCAUCUACUCCCCAUAUCCAAUAACUCCUCUGCAUGUAUAUGCAAAUAAAAUCUGCUCUACUCCAGAAAUAUGAACUCUUUCCCUCAGGCAAUCCAACAAUACUUGAUGUCGUGAUAACUAGUCCAUCCCAAGAAUGAUAUUGCUACCCAUCGGGUACACCAAGGGAUACAAAGAUAUGAAGUAUCAACUAUAAUUGGUCUAGUGUGAAGAGAGUUGUAGCUUCAUUGCAUCACAGUGUCAGACAUGUCAGAUGGCUAUGUCAGAAGAUCAAUUAUCUAUCAUGUUAUUUUUGAGCUUGCUGUUGCCGGAGUGGAAAUGAGGCAUGGUGAUUAUGGACAUUGGUAUUGGAUUUUAAAUCACCAUAUGUGGAAAGGAUGCCACAUGGGUAGUCAUGGAUAGACUUACCAAGUCAGCCCAUUUCCUAAGUAAUUAAGAAGACAUCCAUAGCUAAUCAGUUGGAGCAGACCUACAUUAUUGAGUUUGGGAGGUUUCAUGGAUGUCAACAUAGUAUCGGAUUGGUAUUCUAAGUUCACGUCUACAUUUUUGGAGUCAUUCAGAAGGAACUUGGGACAAAGAUCCACAUGAAUACAACAUAUUAUCAGCAUACAGAUGGUUAGUCAAAGAAGACUAUUCAGACUUAGAGGACAUGCUAAGGGAUUGUAUCUUACAGUGGGAUGGAAGAUCGGAAAUAAUUACAUCUAGCAGAGUUUGCCUACAUCGACAACUAUCGUUCGAACAUUGAGAUGACACCGUAUGAGCUAUUGAUGGUAGACCUUGUCGUAUACCACUUUGUUGGACCAAAGUGAGGGAGUGACAUGAGUUAGAACUAUUAAUAGUUCAAGAGAUGGUAUAGCAAAUGGACAUGUUCAAGGACUGUCUUUGGGACACCCAUGACAGCAGAUGAUUUAUGCAGCUAAGCGUCGUAAGGAUUUGGAGUUACAUAUGGGCAAUCUAGUCUACCUGAUAAUAAUGACAUUUCAGAGAGGACUUAAGGCUCAUAAGCUGAAGCAACUAAAACCGAGCUACAUUGGACUGUAUCCUCUAGUGGAGCGAAUUGGAGCAGUUGAUUGGAGUUAUUUUAUCAGCAGUGUAUCAAACUUCCAUGGCGUGAUCUAAGUGAGAUCAAAUUCAGAUGAGGAUUGACUAUCCGAAGAUUAUUUUUUUUAGGAUGGUAUUGGAUAGCCGACUCAGGAUUUGAAUUCGAGGACGAAUUCUUCGUAAUUGGGGAAUAAUUGUAACGACCCAAAUCUCGGCCCGGAAAACUUUAGCCCAGUAAGACCCAAUUACAUUGCAGAAAGACCCUAAAGUUUUCUUAUUUAAGAUGGAACUUUGUGGUGGCCUCUGACAGAGACUUUUGGGGAUGGAAAAGUCCUGCCGGAACGUCACCGAAACAGCCACAAAUAGCCACCAUGAAAGAGAAGCCAUCCCACCAUCCGAAAAGAGAGAUUAGAGCUCAGCAGACACGUUUUGGGAGAACAGAAGAACGAUCGAUCAAAUAUCAGUAUUUUGAAGCUACAUUUUGAGGUUAUGUUCUACACUCAUAGAUCAUUAUGUAUCAGAAAGCAGAUCGUCAUUUGGAAUUUUUAUCUAAGAGUUAUGGUUGUUUCUUUGGGACUGAUAUCUACAGAUCGGAUCCGCGAACAGUCAACUUCAUCAGCGUUUUACCGUUGAUACAGAAGGAACCAGGGAACGGGCGAGAUAUCAUUGGAAAGAUCUCGAUUCCAGGUUUUCAGAUCAUCUAUCCGAUCGUCAAAUCGACGUACGGGUAGAAAGUUAUUGACGUUUCUUCUUGGCGAAGAAUAAAGCUGUUGAGUUGCAGAGACAGUUCCGACCAGUGUCGGUGUAAGUGAGAAACGGUCUACAGAAACAAAAUCUUUCAGUCUGGAAAUUUGUCAGUAAGUAUUAAUUCUCUUAUCUAUCAUCUCCUGCAAGCGGAUCGUUAUUCCGAGUUAUUUUCUGAGAGUUAUGCUUGUUUUCGUGAGAGGUGUUGGUGCAGUUUUCGUUUACGACCAGCCUGGACAUGAAACUACUUUGGUUAAGCAAAUGGUGUCCGAUCGGAGUAAACAUGGUGUCUAUAGAUAGAGGACAUAGAGGACUACAUUAGGACCGGAGGGAUCGAAAAGGUAACGGUCAGUUCUUCAGUUAUUCAUCUGUUUGCUCUAUGGUUCAGUUCUGCCAGAAUACCAUAUUGAUCUAAUUUCAAAGAGUUCCGGAGUUGCUUUGUUAGAGCUGUCAAGGUCCAUUCGGCGUUUCCUCAGGUUUCUUCAGAACCUUUGGCAAAGGUGAGGGUCCAUUCCGUAAAUCUCGUACCAGUGUAGAAUUCUCUCUAUGUUAGUCUAGAUUUCGAAUCAUGGUCAGUCUGUUUGAAUUGAGUCUUGAUUGUUAGUUACUUCAUUCAUUGUAAACUGGAAUUAGGGGUCUAGAGGAUUCAACCGUUGAUUUGAUUGUGUGAUGUUAAGAGAUGCUAUAUAUAUGUAUGUAUACAUAGUUAUGAGUAGGGACUAUGUGAAUGGACGGGGGUCCAGAGAUGUCUGGACUAGCGACGCAGCUUUGGUGGGCGGGGGCUCAGAGACGUCUGGGCUAGCGACGCAUAUUGUGUGGGGCGUGGGUGCAGAGACGUUUGCAUUCGACGCAGCUUUGGAGGGCGGGGGUACAGAGACAGACUGUACUAGCGAUGCAGCGUAUGUAUAUAUAUAUAUAUAUAUAUAUAUAUAUAUAUAUCUGUAUGAGGAGAUGUGGAGUGUAUGGACUAGCUAUAUGCUAUCAUCGCAUUGCUUGUGUUUUGUGAUGCUUUAGGCGUCUUGUUUGUUCAUGUUAGAGCUAAAUUUCGAUAGUGAGAGUUCUAUUACUCAAGUCAGUGGUUUGCGUGUUUAGCAUCCCAUACCUCACGGAGUAACUCCCAUGUUACUCACCCCUCCUAUUCCUUUCCCCUUUCAGGUGAGACUGGCGAGCAGGAGUGAUUGCUAUCGUAUUGGUGCUUUGGGAGUUUUAUUUCUUUUUUUUUCAGACAUGCAGAUUUUAUGGUUUUCUCAAUAUUUUUGGAAUUUAUUAUGUUAUCUGGAUUUAUGGUUAUUUAUUGGAUUUACGACUUUGGAGUUGACUUUUGAGAAGUAAUAAAUGGAGAUUUCAGACUUAAUAUUUUUUUAAGUUAUUUUGGAAAAUACGGGUGUUACAAUUUGUGACAACCCGUCCCGUGGGAACUACCUGCCCCGUGGGCCCUAGGCUCACAGCGCUGCAGCGCACCGACCCUAAUCCCUCCAUUGUGAGUUAUCUCUAACUCCAUAAUUAGGUUGUUGGUGAACCUCGAACCCAGGACCUCACCCUUUAACAGUAUUCCCACAAGACAAAUUGUCACCAAUUGAACUGCAGAUCAAUUGGUGACAACUUGUCUUGUGGAGAGUUGUUAAAAGGUGAGGUCUUGGGUUCGAGUAACGCCAAGCGCAUCAAUAACCUACCGGUAGAUGUGGAGUCAGUUCCUCCCACGGUGAGGGGUUAGGGUCGGUGCGCUACAGGUUGUCACAACAUACAAUGGAGAAGUCCCUAAAUCUCCGUAAACUAUGCCUAGAAUUUGGAAUGAUAGUCUCAGUAACAUCCACAUUGACAAGCCCUGAUGACAAGUCGUAUUAAAAAAAAUCCAAAUUUCUUGAAACUGAAACAGAUUAAAACAGAGAAAGUCGUUACCUUUUCUCUGUACAUGUCCUCUGAACCUGACCAUCCCUUCCUGAAUAUGUUCAAGCUCUUAUCCUCUAUUGUUGUAAAGCUUUUGAUUCCCAUUGCAGCUUUGUUAUUUAAUUUUAUGUUAAGCUCUUAACGGAACCUGACCUCAUUAACCAUAGAUACUGCAAUGGAAACAACAACAUCAAAAUAAAAAUCUCACCAACUUAAAUCAGAUGCUUAACAUAAAAUUACCGGCUUUAGGAUUGAGUUUGGUGAAGUGGAAGAACUCAUCAGCUGAGCAAGCUCUGUACCAAUAGUCGCUGAGGUCGACGGCAAGCAAUUGUCUGAGUUUAAUCCUUCCCUGAAUCUUUGCUUUUUCUUGAAGCCUUCUUCCCUUCUGAUCUUCAUCAUAGCCUCAUAAGGAGAUUUUGCCUAACCCAAAAGGAUCAUAUGAGAUUGAGAGAAGAGACAGAGUGAUCGAGAAUGGAGGGGGAAGAGAAACUGAUUUCUUUCGCACAAACGCCGGAGAAGGAGAGAGAGAGAUACAUUAAGCGGGUCCAAUAGAAAACCGCCACGUAAGGGCUUCUUACUAAUUCUAAGAGCAGCCACAUUGAGAGUUGUAAAGGGGUUCAUGGGCUCGGGUUCAUAGGCCCGAAAGCAAAAAAAAAAAGAGAAAAUGGGUUUAAUUCCGCGACCCGCGUCUUACGAGUGACCCCGUAUGAUACGGGUUCACGCCAGGUGUCAGCCAUCCAUUGGAGACGCGUUAUUGAGUUCACGAGGAGGAAAGCGGAGAGAAAUCAUUUUCUCUCAUUUCUGAAAAAAACUAGGGUUUCAGUUCGAGAGGCGAUUUCUCGUGCGACGCCGACCUUUCUCCAAUUUUCUCCUUCGAAUCGACGACGGAGUGUCUCAUCCACGAGCUCAGGUGAGUAUCGAGUGGAUUCACGGUUAGAUAGAAGCUUUUUUGGGUCGAAAUCGAUCUCGGGAAUUCGAAAUAUUGAUUUAUUAGGGUUAAAAAUCGAUUUUGGGGGUUCAAAAUCGGUUUCUCGGUGAUUGGAAAUCGAAUUGGAGUUUUUGAGUUAGGGUUCAAAAUCGAUUUUGGGGGUUUUCGAUUAGUGGUUUUAAAACGUCAUGUGGGUUCGAUUUAUCGAUUUAUGGUUGGUUUCUCAGUGAUUGAAAAUCGAAUUGGGGUUUUCGAGUUAGGGUUCAAAAUCGAUUUUGGGGGUUUUCGAUUAGUGGUUUUAAGACGUCAUGUGGGUUCGAUUUAGUGUUGAUUUCAUCAUAUUUUUCGUGAUUAUGUUGUAAUCAGUUUGCUUCUCUGGUUCAGAUGGAUCCCGCAGAAGAGAGAAGAGAUAGAAAGAGGCAACAGGAGUACUUCAACAUGUUGGGAAACGUGGCUGAUUCACAAUACAGGAUUCCCAGAAGAUUUCCCUGUGGUGGGAGAAUCAUUGACGAGGUUCGGGUGAAGGAGGAGUACGACACUCUUCCUGGGAAGCGUUUCUUCACCUGCAUAAACUACGAGGUAAGAGAUACAAACCGCUUCUUCCAUGCAUUACUCUCACUUGGCAAAUUAGUAUAAAUUUUAUUUUAGUUGUACGAGUCUGAUGUGUUUAUGUUAUCAACAAGGCUGAUGGGUUUCAUUAUCGUCAGCCUUGGGUGAUAGGUGUCCAGGAGGAGAUGGAACGCCUGCGUAAGCGUGUGGAGGAGGCUGAGCAGGUGAUCAAGUGGGUGCCCAAUCUCAAUAAACAGAUUGAGAGUGUUGAGGUUAGUGAAGUUUUUUUGAGAGUAUCGAAUAGCAAGUUAAUAAUUGUAAAGUUAGGUUUUUUUUAAGUUACUAACAACGUUUCUUUUUUUCCAUGUGCAGGCACAGGUUAAAAGGCUCACUUUGCUGUUUGAUAACCUCACUAGUGACGUUUAUAACCUCACUGUGCAGGUGGAUGAUCUUGAAAAGGUCUGCUUCGAAUGAAAUCCUAAAGGUCACGGGUUCUACUUCUCUACUGGUGCAGCACGUUCUAUUUUGUAGUUGAUGGGUUCUAGUUGUCACGGGUAGUAGGUGCCACAGGUUAUCAGUUUAUGUAUUUUCAUUUCGCGGCAGGUCACGGGUUCUAGUAGGAGGAUGGUGAAGUUGUCACGGGUUGUAGUAGUGACAACACGUUUUCAAGUACGUUUGCUUAUGCAUGUUUGUGUCACGGGUGUAAAAGUGUAGUAUUUUGUUUGUUUCUACGCUUCACGGGUAUUGUAAGAGGAAGGACUAUAAAAUGUAUGUCGUAUGUCUCAUUUAUCAAUUGUCUCUCAUCUUUGUUUAAGUUGUUCCUCUAUUCUUUAAAUUUGUAUCUCAACCUGCAAAAAAAAAACAAUAAUCCAUCAAGGCCACUCCAUCAAGGCCACGGCAUCAAAACACUACCCCUUCUAUAAACUUGUUCCUCUCUGUUCUUUAAGUUCUUCCCCUCUCUUCUAAAAACUUGUAUCUCAAGUUUCAUAUACCACAAAACACUCCCUCCUUGGUCUAUCUCUCCCUUAAUUUUCUUUUAAACACUUAGCCAAAUCUUCUUCUUCUAUCACUUUUUUUUUAAAACACUUAACAAAAUUUCCAAAAUAAAAAAAUGUCAUCCUCAUCGUCAGAUGGCGUAGAUGAAGCUGUUGAAGAAAUGUUCGACCAAGAAUUUGAUAAUAUCAUUGACUCCCUAGUUGAUGUUCAAGCCAACAAACCGAAGAGACGAGCUUAUAUCGAAAGAGAUCGGGAACAAAGCCACAAUCAACUAUGGAACGACUAUUUCAAGGAACAUCCUACAUACCCACCGGACAUGUUUAGGUGGCGUUUUCGAAUGAACAAGCCUUUAUUCCUUCGCAUUGUCGAUCGCCUCAAUAAUGAAGUUCCAUACUUUGAGCAAAGAAAAAAUGCUCACGGCAGGUACAGGCUAUCUGCACUUCAAAAGUGUACAGCAGCUAUCUGAAUCCUGGCAUAUGGUCAAUCGGGAGAUACAUAUGACGAAUAUCUCCGACUAGGUGAAAGUACUGCACUUUUAUGUUUGGAAAAUUUCACUAAUGGGUUAAUACAAUUGUUUGGAGAUGCGUAUCUAAGAAGACCUAUAGCGGAUGAUCUUCGACGAUUACUCGACAAUGGAGAGGCACGCGGGUUUCUGGGGAUGAUAGGCAGCAUCGGCUGUAUGCAUUGGGAGUGGAAAAACUGCCCAACCGCUUGGAGAGGCCAGUACACCCGUGGUACAGGAAAGCCGACAAUUGUCUUAGAGGCUGUGGCAUCACAUGAUCUUUGGAUAUGACACUCAUUUUUCGGAUUAUCAGGUACCCUCAAUGAUAUAAAUGUUCUUGAUCGGUCACCAGUUUUUGAUGACAUUUUACAAGGUCGAGCUCCUCGAGUUAAUUUCAAGGUCAACAACCACAAAUAUCAUAUGGCGUACUACCUUACGGACGGAAUUUAUCUGAAUUGGUCAACAUUUAUCCAAUCCAUCCCACUUCCUCAAGGUCCUAAAGCAGAGCUAUUUGCUCGACGUUAAGAAUCCGUCAGAAAAGAUGUCGAACAUGCUUUUGGAGUAUUGCAAGCGAGGUUUGCAAUAGUUCAAAACCCAGCUCUACUAUGGGAUAAGGAAAAGAUAGGAAAGAUUAUGAAAACUUGUGUCAUACUCCACAAUAUGAUAGUAGAGAACGAACGCGACAGAUACACUCAGUAUGAUACAUCUGACUUCGAAGCAGGAGAGUCAAGCGGAAGUUCCAAGGUUAAAAGGAGAAAAAGUUUGAAUAUCCCUAUGCUUGACAUUCGCAAUCAAAUUCGGGAUCCACAGAUACAUGAUCGUUUGAAAUCUGAUUUAGUUGAAAAUGUAUGGGAAAAAUAUGGUAAUCAUGAUGAAUAAUCUUUGUAUGUUUAUGAAUUCUCAUUACAUUAAAUAAAAACUUUUAAAAAAUAUUUUAAUUUUUUUUUAUUCCUAUGAACCCUUCUUCAGGUUUACUAAUGCAAGAGCAAAAAUUAUACAGGUUCAA